AGGAGAGUUUGAUCCUGGCUCAGGAUUAGAUACCCUGGUAGUCCAGAAUUUGGCUUAGAGUUUGAUCCUGGCUCAGGAUGAACGCUAGCUACAGGCUUAACACAUGCAAGUCGGGGGGCAGCAUGAAGUCAGCUUGCUGACUUUGAUGGCGACCGGCGCACGGGUGAGUAACGCGUAUCCAACCUACCCCUUAGUAGGGCAUAGCCCGUAGAAAUGCGGAUUAAUACCCUAUGUUUUCCGAGGAUGGCAUCUGACUUGGAACAAAGAUUCAUCGCUAAGGGAUGGGGAUGCGUCCGAUUAGCUUGCCGGCGGGGUAACGGCCCACCGGGGCGACGAUCGGUAGGGGUUCUGAGAGGAAGGUCCCCCACACUGGUACUGAGACACGGACCAGACUCCUACGGGAGGCAGCAGUGAGGAAUAUUGGUCAAUGGGCGCGAGCCUGAACCAGCCAAGUAGCGUGCAGGACGACGGCCCUACGGGUUGUAAACUGCUUUUAUCAGGGGAUAAAGUGCGGGACGUGUCCCUCAUUGCAGGUACCUGAUGAAUAAGGACCGGCUAAUUCCGUGCCAGCAGCCGCGGUAAUACGGAAGGUCCGGGCGUUAUCCGGAUUUAUUGGGUUUAAAGGGAGCGCAGGCGGGUGCUUAAGCGUGCUGUGAAAUGUACCGGCUCAACCGGUGACGUGCAGCGCGAACUGGGUGCCUUGAGUGAGUGCGAGGUAUGCGGAAUUCGUGGUGUAGCGGUGAAAUGCUUAGAUAUCACGAAGAACCCCGAUUGCGAAGGCAGCGUACCAGUCCUUUACUGACGCUAAAGCUCGAAGGUGCGGGUAUCGAACAGGAUUAGAUACCCUGGUAGUCCCCU
rnacentral:rRNA from 1 species